rnacentral:rRNA from 1 species
GGAUCGACGGGUCGGUCGCGCCUCUGGUGUGUACUGGCCCUGUCGGUUUCUCCCUUCUGACGAACCACGAUGUCAUUAAUUUGGUGUCGUGGGAAAUCAGGACUGUUACUUUGAAAAAAUUAGAGUGUUUAAAGCAGGCAUUCGCUUGAAUACAUUAGCAUGGAAUAAUGAAAUAGGACGUUCGAUCUUAUUUUGUUGGUUUCUAAGAUCGACGUAAUGAUUAAUAGGGAUAGUUGGGC